CCUACGGGAGGCAGCAGUGAGGAAUAUUGGUCAAUGGGAGGAAUCCUGAACCAGCCAUGCCGCGUGCAGGACGACGGCUCUACGAGUUGUAAACUGCUUUUGUACCGGGGUAAAAUGCUCUACGAGUAGGGUUUUGAAAGUACGGUACGAAUAAGCAUCGGCUAACUCCGUGCCAGCAGCCGCGGUAAUACGGAGGAUCCGAGCGUUAUCCGGAUUUAUUGGGUUUAAAGGGUGCGUAGGUGGUUUUAUAAGUUAGCGGUGAAAUACCGAUGGUCAACCUCGGGGGGGCCGUUGAUACUGUAGGACUAGAGUGCGGGAGAAGCAGGAGGAAUGUGUGGUGUAGCGGUGAAAUGCAUAGAUAUUACACAGAACACCGAUUGCGAAGGCAGCUUGCUAGGCCGGAUCUGACACUGAUGCACGAAAGCGUGGGGAUCGAACAGGAUUAGAUACCCGAGUAGUC
rnacentral:rRNA from 1 species